CUGAUCCAGCGACGCCGCGUGGGUGAAGAAGGCCUGCGGGUUGUAAAGCCCUUUCAGUGGGGAAGAAAAGCCUCGAGUGAAUACCUCGGGGUCUUGACGUAACCCAUAGAAGAAGCACCGGCUAACUCUGUGCCAGCAGCCGCGGUAAUACAGAGGGUGCGAGCGUUAAUCGGAAUUACUGGGCGUAAAGCGCGCGUAGGCGGCUUUGCAAGUCGGAUGUGAAAUCCCCGGGCUCAACCUGGGAACUGCAUUCGAGACUGCAUUGCUAGAGUAUGGGAGAGGGAAGUGGAAUUUCAGGUGUAGCGGUGAAAUGCGUAGAUAUCUGAAGGAACAUCAGUGGCGAAAGCGACUUCCUGGACCAAUACUGACGCUCAUGUGCGAAAGCGUGGGGAGCAAACAGGAUUAGAUACCCUGGUAGUCCACGCCAUAAACGAUGAGAACUGGAUGUCGGGAGGGUUCUGCCUCUCGGUGUCGUAGCUAACGCGUUAAGUUCUCCGCCUG
rnacentral:rRNA from 1 species